GAUGAACGCUGGCGGCGUGCCUAAUACAUGCAAGUCGAACGAGGUGCUUUUGUAGCAAUACGAGAGUAUCCUAGUGGCGAACGGGUGAGUAACGCGUUGGUGACCUACCCCAAAGUGUGGGAUAACAGUUCGAAAGGAUUGCUAAUACCGCAUGUGGUCUUCGGAUUUAGAAACUGAUGACUAAAGGAGUAAUCCGCUUUGGGAGGGACCUGCGUCCCAUCAGCUAGUUGGUGAGGUAACGGCUCACCAAGGCGACGACGGGUAGGGGACCUGAGAGGGUGGCCCCCCACAAUGGAACUGAAACACGGUCCAUACACCUACGGGUGGCAGCAGUAGGGAAUAUUGCACAAUGGGCGAAAGCCUGAUGCAGCAACGCCGCGUGUGCGAUGAAGGCCUUCGGGUCGUAAAGCACUUUUCUGAGGGAUGAGAAAGGACAGUACCUCAGGAAUAAGUCUCGGCUAACUACGUGCCAGCAGCCGCGGUAAGAC
rnacentral:rRNA from 1 species